ACGAACGCUGGCGGCAGGCCUCACACAUGCAAGUCGCGCGGACCCUUCGGGGUUAGCGGCGGACGGGUGAGUAACGCGUGGGAAUAUGCCCUUCUCUACGGAAUAGUCCUGGGAAACUGGGGGUAAUACCGUUUACGCCCUUUGGGGGAAAGAUUUAUCGGGGAAGGAUUAGCCCGCGUUGGAUUAGGUAGUUGGUGGGGUAAUGGCCUACCAAGCCGACGAUCCAUAGCUGGUUUGAGAGGAUGAUCAGCCACACUGGGACUGAGACACGGCCCAGACUCCUACGGGAGGCAGCAGUGGGGAAUCUUAGACAAUGGGGGCAACCCUGAUCUAGCCAUGCCGCGUGAGUGAUGAAGGCCUUAGGGUUGUAAAGCUCUUCCAGCUGGGAAGAUAAUGACGGUACCAGCAGAAGAAGCCCCGGCUAACUCCGU
rnacentral:rRNA from 1 species